rnacentral:rRNA from 1 species
UGGGGAAUUUUGGACAAUGGGGGAAACCCUGAUCCAGCCAUCCCGCGUGUGCGAUGAAGGCCUUCGGGUUGUAAAGCACUUUUUGCAGGAAAGAAACGUCAUGGGUUAAUACCCCGUGAAACUGACGGUACCUGCAGAAUAAGCACCGGCUAACUACGUGCCAGCAGCCGCGGUAAUACGUAGGGUGCAAGCGUUAAUCGGAAUUACUGGGCGUAAAGCGUGCGCAGGCGGUUCGGAAAGAAAGAUGUGAAAUCCCAGAGCUCAACUUUGGAACUGCAUUUAUAACUACCGGGCUAGAGUGUGUCAGAGGGAGGUGGAAUUCCGCGUGUAGCAGUGAAAUGCGUAGAUAUGCGGAGGAACACCGAUGGCGAAGGCAGCCUCCUGGGAUAACACUGACGCUCAUGCACGAAAGCGUGGGGAGCAAACAGG